UACGAAGGGGGCGAGCGUUGUUCGGAUUUACUGGGCGUAAAGGGCGCGCAGGCGGCGCAUUUUGUCAGGCGUGAAAGCCCCGGGCUUAACCUGGGAAUUGCAUUCGAGACUGAAUAGCUAGGGUACGGUAGAGGGAAGUGGAAUUUCCGGUGUAGCGGUGAAAUGCGUAGAUAUCGGAAGGAACAUCAGUGGCGAAAGCGACUUCCUGGACCAGUACCGACGUUCAGGCACGAAAGCGUGGGGAGCAAACAGG
rnacentral:rRNA from 1 species